rnacentral:rRNA from 1 species
AACGAACGCUGGCGGCGUGCUUAACACAUGCAAGUCGAGCGGCAGCGCGAGUAGUUUACUACUUGGCGGCGAGCGGCGGACGGCUGAGUAACGCGUAGGAACGUGCCCCAAAGUGAGGAAUAACUGCCCGAAAGGGUGGCUAAUGCCGCAUAUGGUCUUCGGAUUAAAGGAUUUAUCCGCUUUGGGAGCGGCCUGCGUAUGAUUAGGUAGUUGGUGAGGUAAUGGCUCACCAAGCCGACGAUCAUUAGCUGGUCUGAGAGGAUGACCAGCCAGACUGGAACUGAGACACGGUCCAGACUCCUACGGGAGGCAGCAGUGAGGAAUCUUCCACAAUGGGCGAAAGCCUGAUGGAGCAACGCCGCGUGCAGGAUGAAGGCCUUCGGGUUGUAAACUGCUUUUAUGAGUGAAGAAUAUGACGGUAACUCAUGAAUAAGCACCGGCUAACUACGUGCCAGCAGCCGCGGUAA